rnacentral:rRNA from 1 species
UGGGGAAUUUUGGACAACGGGCGAAAGCCUGAUCCAGCAAUGCCGCGUGUGUGAAGAAGGCCUUCGGGUUGUAAAGCACUUUUGUCCGGAAAGAAAUGGCUCUGGUUAAUACCUGGGGUCGAUGACGGUACCGGAAGAAUAAGGACCGGCUAACUACGUGCCAGCAGCCGCGGUAAUACGUAGGGUCCAAGCGUUAAUCGGAAUUACUGGGCGUAAAGCGUGCGCAGGCGGUUGUGCAAGACCGAUGUGAAAUCCCCGAGCUUAACUUGGGAAUUGCAUUGGUGACUGCACGGCUAGAGUGUGUCAGAGGGGGGUAGAAUUCCACGUGUAGCAGUGAAAUGCGUAGAGAUGUGGAGGGAAUACCGAUGGCGAAGGCAGCCCCCUGGGAUAACACUGACGCUCAUGCACGAAAGCGUGGGGAGCAAACAGGAUUAGAUACCCUGGUAGUCCACGCCCUAAACGAUGUCAACUAGUUGUUGGGGAUUCAUUUCCUUAGUAACGUAGCUAACGCGUGAAG